UACGGAGGAUGCGAGCGUUAUCCGGAUUUAUUGGGUUUAAAGGGUGCGUAGGCGGACUGUCAAGUCAGCGGUAAAAUACGGGGGCCCAACCUCCGCCCGCCGUUGAAACUGACGGUCUUGAGUGGGCGAGAAGUAUGCGGAAUGCGUGGUGUAGCGGUGAAAUGCAUAGAUAUCACGCAGAACUCCGAUUGCGAAGGCAGCAUACCGGCGCCCAACUGACGCUGAAGCACGAAAGCGUGGGUAUCGAACAGG
rnacentral:rRNA from 1 species